rnacentral:snRNA from 1 species
AUUCUAACUCAGGGGAGAUACCAUUAUUAUAAAAGUGGUUUUCCCAGGAUAAGGUUCAUCUAUUGCACUUUAGAUGUGCUGAGCCCUGUGAUUUCCCCAAAUGUGGAAAAAUCAACUGCCUAAGUAGGGGACUUUGUUUGUCAUUUCCCAUG